CAACAAAGCCGUCGGGAAAGAAGAAAGACGUCCAGGUGCGAGAGUGUAACCUGAUACCAAUGUCAAUCUCACCUUUAAUAUCGAAUCCAAAGGGUAUAUAUUCAGAGAUAUUGAGUUUGAGUUGUUGAUAUCUUAUGUUCUCAUAGGAGGAUUAUAUUGCAAAUGGAUUAUAUUACGAGGAUUUCGUUGGGCUGUGGGUUGACAGAGUGGGAAAAAGGUUGACCUUGUGGCAAGAGCAUUUAUUAAAGCAUAUGAAUUGGGUGCUUCAAAGAAAUUUACAAGGAACAAAUUUUUGAUAGAUUAAUUAAGAAGGAAUACCAACAAUGGCUACAAACUAAUUAUAUUAUUAAGUGCGAGGCUAGCACUCUGUGCAAUGAAUAUUGGAAAGAUGACAUUCAAAAACAUGGCCACAUCUUGAUGAUGGAAUGCUAUACAUUCUACGAGUAAAGGCAGUGGAUGUUGAAUAUAUUGGCAAAUACAAAGAUGAGAGGGCCUACUCAUAUUGGAUGAGCGGAUUUGUUGAUAUAAUUCAUGUCGCUAAAUGCCCCAUUGACAAGACCAUGACAUUUUUUUGUAAAUUCAGUAUGUCCAUCACAAAGGAUGACUCACAUAUAAAAGUGUGGAUGUGUGUCCUUGAACAGCUGGAACAGUUGAGCAUGUAAUCAUGUACUUGCAGUCUUCAAUGUAUUAAAUAAAUUAUGCUUACUGCUUACAACAUGUCAACAAGCAAUAUAUUUCCCCUGCCUGUGUGCCUGUAUCAGUGUUCCCCAAGGAUAGAACAAAGAAACUUGAAAAGAAGUAAAUCCAAGCAUGCAAGGUUAAAAAUUUAAUAUUUAGACCAAAACUCUGGCUGCAAUUAAACAGUGAGGGAAGAAUUUGACCCCAGAAAACCUGGGGACAGAAAUAUUACCAAUGAAAGAGUUUCUUUAUUAUUUAUUGACUUAGUUUUAAUUUUUCUCCCCUAUGUACAGUUCCAUAGACAAUAUUUACAUAUUUUUCCUUAUAUUAAUUUUGGCUAAAGACCUAUUAGUUACUUUGUUAGGCUUUUUGUUUAGGCCCCUAGUAAAGGUUUAUAGUUAACUGUUAGAUUUAUAAUAUUUUAUUUUAUUUUACAGUCAAAUCAGAGAGAGCAUUUUCAGAGUAAUAGAGGAACAAUAAUAUGCAAAUAGAAUAAUAUGCAAAUAGAAUGUUUUCAUAAAAAAAUGCUGCUGAAUUUGUUUUUUGAAGAUGUAUUGAGAGUUUAUGUCUUUAUUUUUUAUUCUAGUGAGUUCAAUACAUCAACUCCAUUAUUAGAGAGAAUAUGUUUUACAUAAUUUGUUCUUUUAUACCACUUGUGAAGUUUU